CCUUUGAAAGCUCAGUUGGUAGAGCGGAGGACUGUAGGCGCAAUAGCAGAGAUCCUUAGAUCGCUUCAAAUCUGUCUCGAAGGA
rnacentral:tRNA from 1 species